rnacentral:rRNA from 1 species
CCUAGCUGCCGAUGGGUCGAAGAGUUAUAAAGUCUCGUGAUAGCCGAACGGCUUGGGAUGGCCGACCGUAGACGGUGAGAGUCCGGUAGGUGAAAUUGCGGGGCCUCUUGGGUGUGUUCCCGAGUAGCACGGAGCCCGUGGAAUUCCGUGUGAAUCUGCCACGACCACGUGGUAAGGCUGAAUACUUCCUGGUGACCGAUAGUGGACCAGUACCGUGAGGGAAAGGUGAAAAGUGCCCCGGUGAGGGGUUGUGAAAGAGUACCUGAAACCGUGUGCCUACAAGCCGUCAGAGCCUGGACCUUCUUCUUCGGAGGAGGGGAGACCGGUGAUGGCGUGCCUUUUGAAGAAUGAGCCUGCGAGUUACGGUGUGUGGCGAGGUUAACCGGUGUCGGGUAGCCGUAGCGAAAGCGAGUCUGAAGAGGGCGUCAUAGUCGCAUGCUGUAGACCCGAAGCGGGGUGAUCUAGCCAUGGGCAGGGUGAAGCGCCGGUAAGACGGUGUGGAGGCCCGAACCCACCAGGGUUGAAAACCUGGGGGAUGACCUGUGGCUAGGGGUGAAAGGCCAAUCAAACUCCGUGAUAGCUGGUUCUCCCCGAAAUGCAUUUCGGUGCAGCGUCGCGUGUUUCUUGCCGGAGGUAGAGCUACUGGGUGGCUGAUGGGCCCGACAAGGUUACUGACGUCAGCCAAACUCCGAAUGCCGGUAAGUGAGAGCGCGGCAGUGAGACUGCGGGGGAUAAGCUUCGUAGUCGAGAGGGAAACAGCCCAGAUCAUCGGCUAAGGCCCCGAAGCGUGUGCUAAGUGGGAAAGGAUGUGGAGUUGCCGUGACAACCAGGAGGUUGGCUUAGAAGCAGCCAUCCUUGAAAGAGUGCGUAAUAGCUCACUGGUCAAGUGAUUCCGCGCCGACAAUGUAGCGGGGCUCAAGCACACCGCCGAAGCCGUGGCAUUGCGCCCGUGUGGGUGUGAUGGGUAGGGGAGCGUCCUGUGGCCGGUGAAGCCGUGGAGUGAUCCAACGGUGGAGGCUAUGGGAGUGAGAAUGCAGGCAUGAGUAGCGAUUCACACGUGGGAAACGUGUGCGCCGGAUGACUAAGGGUUCCUGGGGCAGGCUGAUCCGCCCAGGGUAAGUCGGGACCUAAGGCGAGGCCGUGAGGCGUAGUCGAUGGGCAACGGGUUGAUAUUCCCGUACCCGCUGGUACGCGCCAGCGCUGAGGCCGUUGAUGCUAACCAUCCGACCCGCCUGGGGAGCCUUCGGGUUUCCUUGUGUGGGUUGCGUGGGGCCCGAGACGGUAGUAGGUGAGCGAUGGGGUGACGCAGGAGGGUAGCUCAGCCCAGGCGGUGGUUGUCCUGGGGUAAGCCUGUAGCCCGGGGGGUAGGCAAAUCCGCCCCCUGUUAAGGGUGAGGGGUGAUGCCGAGCCGUUUUAGGUGAAGUGAGUGAUCCCAUGCUGCCGAGAAAAGCCUCUAGCGAGUGUGCCGGCGGCCCGUACCCUAAACCGACUCAGGUGGUCGGGUAGAGUAUACCGAGGCGUUCGGGUGAACUGUGGUUAAGGAACUCGGCAAAUUGCCCCCGUAACUUUGGGAGAAGGGGGGCCGCGUCUGGUGAUCGCCCUUUGCGGUGGGAGCUGGGUGCGGUCGCAGUGGCCAGGGGGAAGCGACUGUUUACUAAAAACACAGGUCCGUGCGAAGUCGUAAGACGCUGUAUACGGACUGACGCCUGCCCGGUGCCGGAACGUUAAGAGGACCGGUUAGACCUUUUGGGGUCGAAGCUGAGAAUCUAAGCGCCGGUAAACGGCGGUGGUAACUAUAACCAUCCUAAGGUAGCGAAAUUCCUUGUCGGGUAAGUUCCGACCUGCACGAAUGGCGUAACGACUUCCCCGCUGUCUCAACCGCAGGCCCGGUGAAAUUGCAGUACGAGUAAAGAUGCUCGUUUCGCGCAGCAGGACGGAAAGACCCCGGGACCUUUACUACAGCUUGGCAUUGGCGUUUGGUGUGUCUUGUGUAGGAUAGGUGGGAGACUGUGAAGCGGGUACGCCAGUAUUCGUGGAGUCGUUGGUGAAAUACCACUCUGGUCGCAUUGAGCGUCUAACCCGCGCCCGUGGAUCCGGGUGGGGGACAGUGCCUGGUGGGUAGUUUAACUGGGGCGGUUGCCUCCUAAAGGGUAACGGAGGCGCCCAAAGGUUCCCUCGGCCUGGUUGGUAAUCAGGUGGUGAGUGCAAGGGCACAAGGGAGCUUGACUGUGAGACUGACGGGUCGAGCAGGUGCGAAAGCAGGGCCUAGUGAUCCGGCAUCGGCGUGUGGAAGCGGUGUCGCUCAACGGCUAAAAGGUACCCCGGGGAUAACAGGCUGAUCUUCCCCAAGAGUCCAUAUCGACGGGAUGGUUUGGCACCUCGAUGUCGGCUC